rnacentral:rRNA from 1 species
GGGAGAGGUAAGUGGAAUUCCUGGUGUAGGGGGUGAAAUCCGUAGAGAUCAGGAGGAAUACCGAAAGCGAAGGCGACUUACUGGAACAAUAUUGACGCUGAUGCGCGAAAGCGUGGGGAGCAAACAGGAUUAGAUACCCUGGUAGUCCACGCCCUAAACGAUGGACACUAGUCGUUGCCCGAAGGGCAGUGACGCAGCUAACGCGAUAAGUGUCCCGCCUGGGGAGUACGGUCGCAAGAUUAAAACUCAAAGGAAUAGACGGGGACCCGAACAAGCGGUGGAGCAUGUGGUUUAAUUCGAAGAUACGCGAAGAACCUUACCUAGGCUUGACAUCCCAAGAAGAUAGUAGAGAUACUGUUGUGUCUGCUUGCAGAAACUUGGUGACAGGUGCUGCACGGCUGUCGUCAGCUCGUGUCGUGAGAUGUUGGGUUAAGUCCCGCAACGAGCGCAACCCCUAUCCUUAGUUGCUAACAGUUAGGCUGAGCACUUUAAGGAGACUGCCUGGGCAAUCAGGAGGAAGGUGGGGACGACGUCAAGUCAUCAUGGCCCUUAUGCCUAGGGCGACACACGUGCUACAAUGGAUAGGAUAAAAAGAAGCGAUACGGUGACGUGGAGCAAAUCUCAAAACCUAUUCUCAGUUCGGAUUGUAGUCUGCAACUCGACUACAUGAAGUUGGAAUCGCUAGUAAUCGUGGAUCAGCCAUGCCACGGUGAAUCUGC